UUCAUCAACCAGGUUACUGACAUGGUUACUGACAUGGUUUCAUCAACCAGGUUACUGACAUGGUUUCAUCAACCAGGUUACUGACAUGGUUUCAUCAACCAGGUUACUGACAUGGUUACUGACAUGGUUUCAUCAACCAGGUUACUGACAUGGUUUCAUCAACCAGGUUACUGACAUGGUUUCAUCAACCAGGUUACUGACAUGGUUACUGACAUGGUUUCAUCAACCAGGUUACUGACAUGGUUUCAUCAACCAGGUUACUGACAUGGUUUCAUCAACCAGGUUACUGACAUGGUUUCAUCAACCAGGUUACUGACAUGGUUUCAUCAACCAGGUUACUGACAUGGUUUCAUCAGCCAGGUUACUGACAUGGUUUCAUCAACCAGGUUACUGACAUGGUUUCAUCAGUCAGGUUACUGACAUGGUUUCAUCAACCAGGUUACUGACAUGGUUUCAUCAACCAGGUUACUGACAUGGUUUCAUCAACCAGGUUACUGACAUGGUUUCAUCAACCAGGUUACUGACAUGGUUACUGACAUGGUUUCAUCAACCAGGUUACUGACAUGGUUUCAUCAGUCAGGUUACUGACAUGGUUUCAUCAACCAGGUUACUGACAUGGUUUCAUCAGUCAGGUUACUGACAUGGUUUCAUCAACCAGGUUACUGACAUGGUUUCAUCAGUCAGGUUACUGACAUGGUUUCAUCAACCAGGUUACUGACAUGGUUUCAUCAGUCAGGUUACUGACAUGGUUUCAUCAACCAGGUUACUGACAUGGUUUCA